UGGGGAAUAUUGCACAAUGGGCGCAAGCCUGAUGCAGCCAUGCCGCGUGUAUGAAGAAGGCCUUCGGGUUGUAAAGUACUUUCAGCGGGGAGGAAGGUGUUGUGGCUAAUAACCUCAGCAAUUGACGUUACCCGCAGAAGAAGCACCGGCUAACUCCGUGCCAGCAGCCGCGGUAAUACGGAGGGUGCAAGCGUUAAUCGGAACUACUGGGCGUAAAGCGCACGCAGGCGGUCUGUCAAGUCGGAUGUGAAAUCCCCGGGCUCAACCUGGGAACUGCAUUCGAAACUGGUAGGCUAGAGUCUUGUAGAGGGGGGUAGAAUUCCAGGUGUAGCGGUGAAAUGCGUAGAGAUCUGGAGGAAUACCGGUGGCGAAGGCGGCCCCCUGGACAAAGACUGACGCUCAGGUGCGAAAGCGUGGGGAGCAAACA
rnacentral:rRNA from 1 species